rnacentral:rRNA from 1 species
UAAAGCGCACGCAGGCGGUCUGUCAAGUCGGAUGUGAAAUCCCCGGGCUCAACCUGGGAACUGCAUUCGAAACUGGCAGGCUUGAGUCUUGUAGAGGGGGGUAGAAUUCCAGGUGUAGCGGUGAAAUGCGUAGAGAUCUGGAGGAAUACCGGUGGCGAAGGCGGCCCCCUGGACAAAGACUGACGCUCAGGUGCGAAAGCGUGGGGAGCAAACAGGAUUAGAUACCCUGGUAGUCCACGCCGUAAACGAUGUCUACUUGGAGGUUGUGCCCUUGAGGCGUGGCUUCCGGAGCUAACGCGUUAAGUAGACCGCCUGGGGAGUACGGCCGCAAGGUUAAAACUCAAAUGAAUUGACGGGGGCCCGCACAAGCGGUGGAGCAUGUGGUUUAAUUCGAUGCAACGCGAAGAACCUUACCUGGUCUUGACAUCCACGGAAGUUUUCAGAGAUGAGAAUGUGCCUUCGGGAAC